GAUGAACGCUGGCGGCGUGCCUAAUACAUGCAAGUCGAGCGAACGGACGAGAAGCUUGCUUCUCUGAUGUUAGCGGCGGACGGGUGAGUAACACGUGGAUAACCUAACUAUAAGACUGGGAUAACUUCGGGAAACCGUAGCUAAGACCGGAUAAUAGUUUGAACCGCAUGGUUCAAACGUGAAAGACGUUCUUGCUGUCACUAAUAGAUGGCUCCGCGUUGCAUUAGCUAGUUGGUAAGGUAACGGCUUACCAAGGCAACGAUGCAUAGCCGACAUGACAGCGUGAUCGACCAGCCUGGAUCAGAGACACGGUCGCGACUCCUACGCGAGGAAGCAGUAGGGACUCUUCCGCGAUGGGGGAAAGCCUGACAGAGCAACGCCGCGUGAGUGAUGAACGUCUUAGGAUCGUAAAACUCUGUUAUUAGGGAAGAACAAAUGUGUAAGUAACUGUGAACAUAUUGACGGUACCUAAUCAGAAAGCCACGGCUAACUACGUG
rnacentral:rRNA from 1 species